rnacentral:rRNA from 1 species
AGAGUUUGAUCCCGGCUCAGGAUGAACGCUAGCGGGAGGCUUAACACAUGCAAGUCGAGGGGUAACAUGAGAUAGCAAUAUUUUGAUGACGACCGGCGUACGGGUGAGUAACACGUAUACAACCUACCCUGUACAGGGGGAUAGCCCGGAGAAAUUCGGAUUAAUACCCCAUAAAGACAUAAAAAGGCAUCUUUUUAUAUUUAAAGUUUCGGUGGUACGGGAUGGGCAUGCGCAACAUUAGCUAGUUGGUAGGGUAACGGCCUACCAAGGCAACGAUGUUUAGGGGACCUGAGAGGGUGAUCCCCCACACUGGUACUGAGACACGGACCAGACUCCUACGGGAGGCAGCAGUGAGGAAUAUUGGUCAAUGGGCGCAAGCCUGAACCAGCCAUCCCGCGUGCAGGAAGACGGCGCUAUGCGUUGUAAACUGCUUUUCCAGGGGAAGAAAACCCCCGACGUGUCGGGGCUUGCCGGUACCCUGGGAAUAAGCAUCGGCUAACUCCGUGCCAGCAGCCGCGGUAAUACGGAGGAUGCGAGCGUUAUCCGGAUUUAUUGGGUUUAAAGGGUGCGUAGGCGGAUAAAUAAGUCAGUGGUGAAAACCUGCAGCUUAACUGUAGAAUUGCCAUUGAUACUGUUAGUCUUGAGUACGGUCAAGGUAGGCGGAAUGUGUAAUGUAGCGGUGAAAUGCUUAGAUAUUACACAGAACACCGAUUGCGAAGGCAGCUUACUGGGCCAUUACUGACGCUGAUGCACGAAAGCGUGGGGAGCGAACAGGAUUAGAUACCCUGGUAGUCCACGCCGUAAACGAUGAUCACUCGCUGUUAGCGA